rnacentral:lncRNA from 1 species
UAAGAAGUGGGGUGUUAAUUAAAGGGGGGUUAAUUAGGGAGGAGGGUUAAUUAGGGGGGGUCAGUUAAUGGGGGUUAAUUAAUUGGAUGGGGAGCUGGGGGGUGGGGCUGUCAAUGAGGCAGAUGGGUCCCUAUGGGGUCCCUAUGGGGUUUCUAUGGGGUCCCUAUGGGGCACAGGGGUCUCUAUGGGGUUUCUAUGGGUCUCUAUGUGGUCCCUAUGGGGUCCCUAUGUAGUUCCAUACCAGAGAAGCACUCUGUGAACUCCUGUUCCAGUUUGGUGGCUCGUUCCAGAGCUUUCCGCGCCUGCUCCUCUGUCACGCGCUUACUGAUAUCCCUGAGAAGGGAACGGGCGCCAUUAAAACCUAUAGGGGAUCCCAUUAAACCUUAUAUGGGAUCACAGACCCCUUAUAUGGGAUCACAGACCCCUUAUAUGGGAUAACAUAGCCCUUAUAUGGGAUAACAGAUUCCCUUAUAAGGCAAAGGGGGCGGGGCCUCAGACCACGCCUACCACAAGCCCCGCUCACAUGACACAAACCACGCCCCUCUAUACAGACCCCGCCCACCACCUCAGGCCAUCCAUAAACCACGCCCCCCUUUUAGGCCACGCCCACCAUCACUUAUAGCUCUGCCCACCAUCCUCAGGCCACGCCCCCUUCUAGACCCCGCUCACACGCAAGCCACGCCCCUAACUACAUGCUCCGCCCCCUUAUACGUUACCCCCUUUAUAAGCCCCGCCCCUUUCUUAGCCCCGCCCACCUCCCUUUACCCCACCCAGUCCUAAGCCCCGCCCCUUCCGCCUCGAAGCUCCGCCCACCACCACGUGACCGCUCCUCCCUUAGACCACGCCCCCACCCCCUUAAGCCACGCCCCCAUUUCUGAAACCACGCCCACUUCUCACAGGCCCCUCCCCCUCCCCAUAAGACUCAAUGUAACCCCUCCGUUUUGGCCCCGCCCCUUUGGCCCCGCCCCUUUAGGCCCCGCCCGUUUGUGUUCUCUCACAGGAUGUUCUGCAGGCUCUUGGGCCGGAUGAAGAUGGCGAUGGGGUGCAGCUGAGCCGCCUGCAGCCGCCGCACCGCGUUGGCUGACACGUCCAGGAUGCAGUGCUUGCCCUAAGGGACAUAGGGACACAUAGAGCCAGAUAUUCCCCCAUAUCUGCCCCAUAUCCCCCCUAUA